rnacentral:rRNA from 1 species
GAUGAACGCUGGCGGCGUGCUUAACACAUGCAAGUCGAACGGAAAGGCCCAAGCUUGCUUGGGUACUCGAGUGGCGAACGGGUGAGUAACACGUGGGUGAUCUGCCCUGCACUUCGGGAUAAGCCUGGGAAACUGGGUCUAAUACCGGAUAGGACCACAUUUUGGAUGGUGUGGUGGAAAGUUUUUCGGUGUGGGAUGAGCUCGCGGCCUAUCAGCUUGUUGGUGGGGUAAUGGCCUACCAAGGCGUCGACGGGUAGCCGGCCUGAGAGGGUGUACGGCCACAUUGGGACUGAGAUACGGCCCAGACUCCUACGGGAGGCAGCAGUGGGGAAUAUUGCACAAUGGGCGCAAGCCUGAUGCAGCGACGCCGCGGUGGGGAUGACGGCCUUCGGGUUGUAAACUCCUUUCGCUAGGGACGAAGCGUUAUGUGACGGUACCUUGAGAAGAAGCACCGGCUAACUACGUG